rnacentral:rRNA from 1 species
CACGUAGGGACCAAGCGUUGUCCGGAUUCAUUGGGCGUAAAGAGCUCGUAGGCGGUUCGAUAAGUCGGGUGUGAAACCUCCAGGCUCAACCUGGAGACGCCACCCGAUACUGUCGUGACUAGAGUCCAGUAGGGGAGCGUGGAAUUCCUGGUGUGAGCGGUGAAAUGCGCAGAUAUCAGGAGGAACACCAGCGGCGAAGGCGGCGCUCUGGGCUGGAACUGACGCUGAGGAGCGAAAGCGUGGGGAGCGAACGGG